AGCCUCCUCUUCUCCAGGCUGAAUAACCCCAGCUCCCCCAGCCUCUCCUCAUGGGACUUGUGCUCCAGAUCCUACCCCAGCUUUGUGGCCCUUCUUUGGACCCUCUCCAGCACCUCAGUGUCUUUCCUGAGUUGAGGGGCCCAGAACUGGGCACAGCACUCAAGGUGUGGCCUCAGAUUCUGGACAUUGCAUCCUGCCCAUCCCUGUGGGACAGCCUCGGGUCACAGAAUCAUGGAAUCAUAGAAUCAUUAAGGCUCCAAGUCCAUCCUUUGACCAAUACCACCACACACUAAACCGUAGGGUGAGGUGCCAUGUCUGCUCAUUUUGUGGACACUUUUGCUCUUGCAGGGCUAUCCAGAGCUCCUACAUCAAAGAAGGAGGACAAAACCCAUGUAUAAAAGGGUGUCUACAUGCUGGCUGUAGAUGUUACACAACCAAGCAGGGAGCAGAGGCAAGGGAAGAGCUGUGCAAUCUUGACUACAUGGGAACUGGGAGCAGAAGGCUUCCCAAGGUCAUGCUUCAACAUGAGACUUGAAAAUCUUACAUGACAGCAAAUAGUGAGACAAUCUGGAAAGAGGUGACUCUGGACCAUUGGCUGCACACAGAUGUGUGUGUGCAGCAUCUGGAACACAACGGGGAUGCCAUCAGCUGAGAGUAGCAAGGCUGAACUCUGCACAACAUGAAAACCAGCCAAUGCCUCCACUGUAUACAACAUACUUAGGAGAAUGGCUCCGUUGUACCCAGCCCUCCAUAUUAAAUGAAAGAGACUGCAUUGUCCUUUCCAGGCACAGCCUAAAUGCAAAUCCAUAAAUACGGUUAGUAUGGCUGUUCUGCUUCCACAAGUUUGUUCUUACAGUCUCUACUUACUAAAAUGUUAAGUCCUUAAUUGAAAUUCCACCUCCAGUGGAACAGCCCUCAGCUGUCCCCGUGAAAACAGAGUGAGUGAUGACAGCAAAAGCAUUGUGAUAAGCUUUUCUGUGCUCUCCUGGUGUUUUUUGAAAAUUUUCCAUUAUUUUGGCUAAGAGGUCAGUGCUGUUCUGGAAACCGUGCUUUUGAUUCUCUAUUAUCAAGCAAAACAUAACAUCAUUUAAAACAACUACCAAAAUCAGAAACCAGUCCUUGCAUAUCUUGGGAAGGGCCUGCUUUAAUAAUAUUUUUUCCAAUGAUUCUGUGACUCAAGCAGCACUGAGUUACCAUACCCAUCUGGCCAUACAUAUUUAGGUAUAAAUUGUUUUUCACAGAGGAGAAGGUUUGCACAUAAUUUUAUGUGAAGGGGUGGAAGUUGUUGUAGUUUACUUGUCCUUCUCUCUCUCUUCCCUUUCUCUUCAGAUUUAAUUAUUACCUUUUGUCCUUCUUCCUUUGACUAGUAACCUUUAGCAGGAAGCUCUCAGCUCACACAAUAUAGUUCUCUGCAGAGAAUUAUGUGAGGCUUGAAGAUAACUACAGGCAUUAUCCAUGAGAAGGGAUAGGGUAGAAAUAGGGUCCCAGGAAGCCUCCUGACUGCAUAUUGUCAGUUCAGGGCAAGCCAUUGGAAAUAGGAAAUGGCAGAUGGCAGGAAAAAGGUAAAUGACAGAUAUAUCCCAGACGUGUUGACAGGUAAUUCAGGCUCUAAUACUUUGCACAUUUAUAACAUCUCACAAAGGUAUGCUGUAUUUCCUCCUAAAUAAGGAAAACAGAGUCUGCCACAGGCUCUACUAUAGAUCUGGUUAUCCUUGUACUUUGUUAAUGUCCUUAGGGGACUCAUUUGCACCAAUAAUUAGUGUUCUAAAAUUAAUGGGUUUUUUAUAGGCAUGUGUUUACAAACACACAUGCAGUCACACACACAUAUGAAAGACUUUCAGAUGGACUUUGCAGGUUUACAGCACUCUCCUCACCAGCACUUAGCAGCUCUUUCCUGUGCCCACUGCCAUGACUGGACUUA